rnacentral:rRNA from 1 species
AGAGUGAACGCUGGCGGUAGGCCUAACACAUGCAAGUCGAACGGCAGCACAGUAGGAGCUUGCUCUUACGGGUGGCGAGUGGCGGACGGGUGAGGAAUACAUCGGAAUCUACCUUUUGGUGGGGGAUAACGUAGGGAAACUUACGCUAAUACCGCAUACGCCCUUCGGGGAAAGCCGGGACCAGCAAUGGCCUGGUGCUGAUAGAUGAGCCGAUGUCGGAUUAGCUAGCUGGUGAGGUAAUGGCUCACCAAGGCGACGAUCCGUAGCUGGGUCUGGAGAGGAUGAUCACGCCACACUGG